UGUGUGCCACAAUCUGUUUUCACACCC
rnacentral:piRNA from 1 species